rnacentral:lncRNA from 1 species
AAGAUCCGUGCCCAGACAGCGCCAGCUUCCUAUUUUUAGUCCCCAGGCAAUACGCAGAGCUGUGGCAGGGUCCCGUUUUACAUGGGUCUGUGCUUUUUGUGGGGAGAGCAUACUGGUGAGGGCCCUUUUUGGCCCCCCGGUUGUUCUCCGACAUGCUGCGUUUACGAUCCCGCAUCGCCCUUGCCUUUCUCGCAGGGACGGUUCAGACUUAGAUGUGCCUCUGGGAGAUGGUUCCUCCCAGAAGUGAAAAAUGGGGUGAACGUUCCCUUCCGCUGGCUUUUCACCUGCUCUAGAAACAAGGAGGAAAAGGAUGUUUCCUUGUUAGCGUGCACCCACCACCUUCAGUUCUGUUCUUUUCUCAGGGCCUCGGGAUUUGGGACUUCUUUGUGCCCCAGUCGUUAUAAUACGGCGAUAACUUUUGUAUGAGUGUCUCCACAGCACUCUGAAACAGCACUUCCUUACUUUGCAGGGCAGUUGUGAGGGAGUAAUGGAACCAAUGCUCACAGCUGCAGCAGUGGAGGCAGGACCUGUGUAUUUUUUUGACCAGAUGAAAACUAGAGUGAGAGAGAGGGACAAGAAGAUACCAGAAGAACUGUCCUCGUAUUUCAGUUUCCCUACUACAGAUCUUCAACCCUUAAGUUGUACUCCCAGCCUGAUUAAAGGCAAGAAUCCCGGCUGUGCAGGGGAGCAUACAGAAAGGCAUGAAGAUGGUUUCAUAAAUGAUGAUCCAUCAAGAAAAGAAAACUACUCAGUUUUGCGUCCAAUGUCUUGUCAUUCCCUGUGUAAAACCACCACUGAAGACACAAAAACAAAGGUCUCCCAAAUACCUUCAGUCCAACAGGCAGAGGAGGAUUCACCGCUGAACAUUUUAAAUAAGUGUGUGGCUGCCAACAUGUUGCAGGAACUGGGAGAGAAGUUGCAGCCCUUUGCUAGUUAUGAGACUGGUUUCCCUCAGGGACUUGUGAAUAUGCUGGCCUGUAACUGGAGAGAACUCACUGAGGGGACUGAUUGUAAUAAAUGGCACCAGAAGUCACUAGCAUACGAAAGUGUGAGAUCCAGGAGAAGGCAGGCCUCAGAGGAAGCUAAGAAUGGUGCUCCCGGGUCCAAAUGUAUGCAGCAUGAAAUCCCUGCCAUCAGAAAAGACCAAUACAAGAGGAGCUUUGCUCUGUCAGCCUGUGCUACAAAGGAAAAAAGAAAUGCUGAGACAGCAUCAAACACACCUCUAGGAAGUAAAGCUCCUGUUGUGCAAAACCAUACCAGCCAGUCACCUGUCGCAAUCAGCUUCUCGCUGUCAUCCAAAAUUUGUGAGGAAAGAGGUUGGAUUUUCCAGCCCUCUGACUCAAAUGCUGAAGAUCUGCCUUAUGUGCGGGCACUGAAGAGACUACAACAAAUUCAAAAACAAAUAAAAGAACAAGUAUCCGAGCAGAAAGAAGCAGGGUUUGGUAAACCAAUUAUUCUCCGACAUUAUGGUGAUCCCAGAGAAGAAAAUUUCCUCAAGACAUGGAAGGGUCAGACUGGCAUGACUGUCACACCAGCGCUGCUGUAUGGCAAACCUCAGAUCCCAAUGGCCAAGAAAACAGACCCCCCACAGAGAAAACUGCAUUAUGGGCUGAAUGAUGGCUCAUCUUUAAUUUAAUAUCCUUUCUGUUUACACAGCACAUGUGAAUGCCAGCAAGCGUGUGACAGGCUGCACAUUCUGUCUGUCUGCCUGUCAUGGUGGAAACCACAGAAGAUACAGUGCUUCAUAAAUAUACUUCUCACUUAUAUGUCAUCUUUGCUCCUGGGAAGGUCACUCUUGGCCUUUACCAGCAGGAAUUUCCUAUUGGCCCGUGUUAGCUUAGUCAGGCAGGAGGAUUUUGUACUCAGAGCUCUUCCCAUCCUCCAUCUCUCCCAACCCACUUGGCUCUUAAGGAUAUAGAGCAGGUAGAGAGUGUUAGUCCCUGUGCGCUCUGCAUAGGCAUGCAACAGAAGCCAUGAAACUGAGAGAGCAUGAUCAAGUUAACUCCUUGACUCAUUUUAGCUAUCCUUCUGAAUAUCUUGCUGUUUGCCAAAGCUACUGCAAUCUCCCAGGUGGGGGCUUGUGUACCAACAUAUUUAGCCCUUCUCCGGAUCACUCUAUAGUUGGAACUUUCACCCCUUUUGGACAUGGCAGUAUCUGUCUUCCUAGCAGGUAGGCGGAUGCACUAUGAGCGCUUGUUUGAUGCUGCAACUUACAGCAGAGAGCAAGGAUCUGAACAGUGUUCAGAUAAUUGGCAUGAGAAAGGUAAUACGUUGUGCAAUAGGAGUUUCUUUCUGCAGCUCAGAGUCGUAUCUUAGUUGGUGUCUGACAGCGGGUUGGUUUUAUUUUGGUUGGUUGUUCUUAAUCUACCCUGUUUGCUCAGAAACUUAUAGUGAGGCACAGUCUUGGGUGACCAGACUUUUGCUCAAACAGACGGAUAGUCCAUGGAGAGUUUGGCCUGGGAGGAUAUUGGCAUCUAUCUCCAUGUGUGAGAAGAGGAAAAACUCCCCUCCCAACUUGUCCGUGAGUCACCUGAAGGCAAAGGAAUCUGCUGCCACUGCCUUAGGCAGAGAGUCCUUGACCUUGCAUGUGUAAGAGUCAAAUGCCACCUUUUGUUCAAGCAGCCCAAAAGAACUCUGCUAUCUAAAUUACUAAGCUAGAUGGAAAUCACUUUGAAAAUUGAAUUCCUGAUUUGUGAAAUCAAUGUUGUGAGGACAGGAUGCACUUUGGCUUACUAGAAAAUUCACACAUACAAAGGAGAUAGAUAGCAGGCAAAUGGGAGCCAGCCUUCUGGCUACCUCAGGCGCACGACAGGAGUUGUGAAUGGAUGUUCCACACAGACAAAAACCGGAUACCCUCUUCCCUCCUGCCCCCCACUUCUUAAUGGCUCACAGAGCAGUGCAUUAUACAGGCCACAAGAAGAGCUGAUCAAAUGCUAUUUGUUCUAUGCAUUGUUCAAUUAUCAGUAUUAUUUUCUAGAUAACAAAUAAUUAGCAUCACUUUAUAGAGAAAUUGGAGCUGCUGAACUAAUUUGGAAUAAUUUACACACAACAAAGAAAAUGGAUCUUUGUGCCUGCCCACCACCAAAUAUUUGCAAAUUGUUUAGUCCCUCCUUCUAGUCAAGCAUGACUGAAUGACCUCUCAAAGUCCCUUCUAACUCUAUUUUCUAUGUUCUACAGUCUGUUUUUAACAAGGAUGGUAAUUAAGAAUCUGUAUUAAGUAUUGAUUAAGUACUUGUCAUGGUUUAGCGUUUUCAUCUUGUGUCUGUUUCUUUCCAUGGGAUUCAUUAAUUCUUCCAGGUUUGUGUUAUGCCAUCUUGUUAAAACAAUUGCCAGGAUUUCUUUGGAUGCUCAUCCUUCAUUACAGUUUUUUUUCUUUUGUGGUUGGGCCCUGUACCUCAAGAAGGAUACAUUAUCUGUCACUAACAAUCCAUCUAAGAAAGGCUGCAGGAUGAGCACUGACAUUCUCAAUAUGCUCUGUGUUGAUUUCAAAUACAAUAGAACAGAUAUCCACUUGUGGAAAGCAUCCCCAGAGCUUACAUGCAGAUGAUUUACUCUGAAGUUUUGGGCCCACCAGAGCAUGUAAAUUGAACGACCAUUCUCUUCUGGAUAAAGUUAUUGUGUAUUUAUAUCUGCCUGUAGUCUUCUGUACCUUUAUAUGAAGUGAACAACAUUUACCGUUGAAGCCUAUUGCAGCACAUUCUUUUCUUACUUUUCCUCUGUCAUACUCUUUUAGUGACAUUGUAAUACUCAAGAUGUCUGGGAUCAAAAUUUCAGGCUCUGCAGAGAGGAACAGUGGCCAAAAGCGAGGGACACUUUAACUUGCAGUUGCUUUCAGUUUUAAAGAAAUCAAAUUUAUUGCCCUGUAUGAGUUCUUGGAAGUGGAGGAAUAUGCUUUACUGGGGCUGUUCAGAGAUGGGUUUUUCAACCCAUGUGUAAAAGGGACUUUAAAAUGAGCUCAGUGCACUUGGAGUUAGUGGAAAGAGCUGGCUCUUGUUUAUAAACAAUGUCUAGGAGCCUAAAAUAUUUUAAAAAGACAUUUUUAAACAAUUCUUAAUUAGAAUAAAAAAUCGAACCCUCCAAAUUUACCUACA